UGAGCUUUUGCAACUUGCUUUCGAUAAUCAUUCAUGAUUUAAAAAGUGGUAUCUCUUGGUGAUAUGUGAUAUUAACCAAUUUUCAAGGAAUUGGCUUCUCAUUGUGAAUCUCCUUCGAACUUUGAUCAGUCAAAAAAGCAAAAUUUUAUCAAGAACGUGGCAGAAUGUGUGUCAGAUGUGUAUUAGUUGGAGACUGCACACAAUGAAAAGAAUAAGGAACAGGGAACAGAGAAUAAGAAUUUCAACCUAUCAUAAUAAAUAAUGUGAAAUAUACAGUUUCUGAUAGGUUGAAAUGCUUAUUCUCUCUUCCCUAUUCUCUAUUCCUUUUAUUAUGUGCAGCUCCUUACAAUCAGUAAUUCUUAGUUGUUUUGCGGUCACCGCUGCGUGAACCUGCCCGGAUUACGAUUUUAUACUCCCCACUAUCAAUCGGAAGUUCAACGAUAGUUCUUCUUAUCGACCAAUUAGACGGACAGAUCACUGGGGCUCGUCCGCAGGCAAAACAUUCUGCAAUCACAUAUAAAGGAAGCGCUUUAAGAGAGACAAACAGUGGUAACAUGCCAAAAUUCCAAGGUAUCAGCUGGACGAAUUUGACGCGAGUUUCGCGGCAGUUCGACAACAAACAAAAAAACCUCUCCAUCAACUGUCGCUGUUUCACCACAGGCCAUUGUCUCAGCUUAACUUCGAUUCCGAAAAUCACUCGCUCCACGCAUUUUUUUGCACCGUCUGUCUUCACGAUCGAAAAAGCUCGCAGGAUGCCGCACGCUGUCAAUAUCUAUCAUCCUCAAAUCUCGAGAUUCAUCGUAACUUACGCAGCAAAAGACCCAUUAUUAAAAAAUGGAUUUGAUUAUAUUGGUAAAAUACCGCUUUUAAACGCAUGCACGGUAGAGAUCUCAUCUCAACUUCGAUAUUACAUCGAGGAAUGCGCUUUGCUAUGUAGUCCUAAAGACAUUUAUAUAUGUAAUGGUACAGAUAUCGAAUAUAUGCAAAUGUUAAAAAUUCUCCAGAAAAAUGAGACUAUCGAAAAUUUGCCGAAAUAUGAAAAUUGCUGGUUGGCAAAGACUAAUCCUGCGGAUGUGGCACGCGUCGAGAAAUGUACGUUCAUCAGUACAGAUUUGGAAAAGGAUACUAUUCCUACACCACGUAAAGAUGUAACUGGAGAUCUUGGAAAUUGGAUCUCUCCUAAUGAUAUGGAAAAAGCUAUUUUAGAACGUUUUCCGGGUUGUAUGAAAGGACGCACCAUGUACGUAAUUCCUUUCAGUAUGGGACCCGUAGACUCCCCAUUAUCUAAAAUUGGUAUAGAAAUUACCGAUUCGGCUUACGUAGUCUGUUCAAUGAGAAUAAUGACUAGAAUGGGAGAAAAAGUACUCGAAGCUUUGGGAAAUGAUGAUUUCGUUAAAUGUUUACACUCGGUGGGUGUUCCAAAGCAUAAUUCAAAAGUCAGUGUAAGUCAUUCAUGGCCGUGCGAUCCUGAAAGAACAAUUAUCCUUCACAAGCCCGCGAAAAAUGAGAUUGUAUCUUAUGGAAGUGGUUACGGUGGAAAUUCUCUAUUAGGAAAAAAGUGCUUUGCGCUUCGAAUUGGCUCGACGAUAGCCAGGAAAGAAGGAUGGCUUGCUGAACAUAUGCUCAUACUAGGUGUCACAAAUCCUAAGGGCAAAAAACGAUAUAUCGCCGCCGCUUUUCCAAGCGCUUGCGGUAAAACAAACUUGGCUAUGAUGCAACCUACUUUGCCGGGUUAUAAGAUUGAAUGCGUAGGAGAUGACAUCGCAUGGAUGAGAUUCGAUAACAAAGGAAAUUUACGUGCCAUUAAUCCAGAGAAUGGAUUUUUCGGAGUUGCUCCCGGUACGAGUUCGGCUACGAAUCCCAAUGCUAUGAAAACUAUCUUCAAAAAUACCAUUUUCACUAAUGUGGCGUCUACUAGCGAUGGAGGAGUAUAUUGGGAAGGAAUGGAAAAAGAAGUUGCAGAUAAUAUCAAGGUGGUCGAUUGGAGAGGCAAUGAUUGGUUCAGAGGUUCUAAGAUACCAGCUGCUCAUCCAAAUUCAAGAUUCUGUACUCCAGCAAAGCAAUGUCCCAUUAUUGAUCCCUGUUGGGAAGAUCCAGCUGGAGUCCCAAUCGAUGCUAUAUUAUUUGGAGGACGUAGACCUGAAGGUGUACCUUUGGUUUAUCAAGCUCGAAACUGGCAACAUGGCGUUUUCAUUGGUGCUGCAAUGAGAUCUGAAGCUACAGCCGCUGCGGAACAUAAGGGUAAAGUAAUCAUGCAUGAUCCGUUUGCUAUGAGACCCUUCUUUGGAUAUAAUUUUGGACACUAUCUUGCCCACUGGUUGAGUAUGGCAAAUGUGAAGAACGGCAAAUUACCAGCGAUAUUCCAUGUGAACUGGUUCAGGAAAGAUUCAAGCGGGAAGUUUUUAUGGCCAGGAUUUGGUGAGAAUUCACGUGUCCUCGAUUGGAUUCUUCGAAGGAUCGAUGGUGAAGAUAUUGCUGAGGACUCGCCAAUUGGCUUAUUGCCAAAACCAGGAUCUAUAAAUUUAGAAAAUCUCACAGAAAAUAUAAACAUGAUGGAAUUAUUUCGAUUACCGAAAACUUUCUGGCAGAAAGAAGUCGAAGAUUUGAGGGAAUAUUUUGAUGCUCAAGUAGGAAACGAUUUACCCAAAGCUAUUGCAAAGGAACUCAAUCGCCUCUCUGAUAACGUUAAUAAUCUUUAAUUUUCUAAUUAUAUAAUCAUAUGUACAUAAAUCUAUAGUUAUGUUUUUCAAGAGAGAGAGAGAGAGAGAGAGAGAGAGAGAGAGAGAAUAUCCAAGUGCUUUAUCGGUAUGUUGCAUCCUUGAGACGCUCUCUUUUCAGUCGCACAAAGGCAACACGUAGU